rnacentral:tRNA from 3 species
GGCGGCGUAGCUCAGAGGUAGAGCAGGCGUCUCAUAAGCGCCCCGUCGGCGGUUCAAUUCCGCCCGCCGCCA